rnacentral:rRNA from 1 species
GCUUAUGGCCAUACCAGCCUGGCUAUGCCCGAUCUUGUCUGAUCUCGUAAGCUAAGCAGGUUUGGGCCUGGUUAGUGCCUGGAUGGGAGACCGCCUGGGAAUGCCAGGUACUCUAAGCU